UAUGUUUCAGGUAAGCCAGCUAGCAUGA
rnacentral:piRNA from 1 species